AUGGAGCUGAUACCCAACCCGGGUUUCCAUGGCGACCCGGGUUUCUGCACUGACUCGGACACCAAGGUAGGAGGAGACCGAGGAGGAGAGGAGGAGGAGGAGGAGGAGGAGGAGGAGGAGGAGGAGGUCGACUUCGCAGAGGAGGUCGGAGAAGAUGCCUUGCUCAUGGGCGGCGAUGAAGAGGGAGGGUUGGAUGAGGAGGGCGCCUGGGACUCGUCGGGGGAGACCGCGGUACCUCCUCCCUCGGAUGGAGAGCCGGAGGAGGACGAUGAGGCGGAGUGGGGAGGUGCACCGGUGGCGGUGGAGCAAGGGGAGGAAGGGUGGAUAGUAGGGGUGGAAGUCCCUGAGGAAGCGAGGGAGGAGUGGGAGGGGGGAGAGCGAGUGCGAGAGGUGGGGUCCCUCGAUGAACAGACACAGGUUCAGGGAGAGAGAGAGAGUGAAAGAGAGAGUGAAAGUGAGAGAGAGGGGAGAGUCGGAGAUAGAGUUUGGCCAGAAUUUUCAGAGCCUCAACUCGAUCCACAUCCACCAAUCAACGGAGACCUUAAGGAUGAAGAAGACUGUGGAGAAGACGAAAGCAAUACAACAGAACCGAGCCGACUACAGAUUGGCUCGGUCGCCGAUGAGGUCCCAUCUGAGUCUGAGAAGCUCAGAGUCCUCCCCGACGUUGACCAAACAACCAACACCCACAGAGACGCCAUUUGCGUCGCAAACUCCGGGCACUCGCACCAUGCUGGGGUCGAACCCAUCCAACCCACAGAGGAUGGCAGGCGAAAUAUCCAGGUCACCGUAAUGACCUGCGCAGUCGUCGACGUCCACGCUGAAUCGAGUACGGAUCCCCCGUCCGUUCUCGAUGAGGAACCGGACAUCGGCGGGAGAGCCGCGCUGAUGGAUCAGCGGACAGGACAAGGAGAGUUCGGGAACGAUGUCUCAGAGUUGCAACCGCCGAUCGAAGGGGGAGAGAGUCAGCCAAAGGUGGGAGUGGGAGUGAGUGAGUCGAUGGAGGAAGUGAGAGAGUGUCCACCGAUGGUGGGAGUGAGGGAGUGUCUUCCCACGAUAGGAGGAGUGGGGGAGUGUCAUCCGACAAUGAGAGGGGGAGAGAGUGGAGCAUGGGUAGAGGAGCAACAACCGAGGACAGAGGUGGGGUCCAGGGAGAAGGAGGGGGAGGAGGAGGAGGAGGAGAAGGAGCACCUGACAAGGACAGAGGGAGAGAUGGGGCAGAGGAACGGAGCAAAGAAGGAGGAGAAGAAGGAGGAGGAGGAGGAUCGACAAGUGGAGGUUAAUACCCUCAGCGACACAGAGGGAGAGGUAAAUUGGAGCAGACAGCGGGCGGAUAAUGAGGUUAAGGAGGCGAUGGCAGGUGGGAGAGAGGAAGAGGAACAGUCCGGGACAGAAGGUUCAGGGAUUGGCAAUCGGGAAGCUCGGACCUUGAGCCAAGACACUUCCAUGCCGGGUUUGCCUGAUGUUAAGUUGCCUCGGACGUCCACAGGGGCAGGGAGGGAAGGCCUGACUGGAGAUGGUCGCGGGGAGGGGCGAAGCAUCGUGGAGGAGGCGGUCGUGAUGGAGAGAGUACCAGGUGAUGUACAGCAGGCGGUGAAACCAGAAGAUGUUCCAAGCACCAAUCCCCUGCCUGCAGAAGGAGACGAAGCUACACAACCGCUGGGUGGGAGGGUGAAGGAGGUGGAGAGUAAGAAGGACAACAGGGUCCAGGCAGAGGGGGAGAUGGAGGGAGUGGCAGGGGAUGAGAGGCAGGCAGUGGAUCCAGAAGUUGGGGUUCCCUGCUCCAUGCCCCGGCCUGCAGAAGGAGACGGAGGCAGAGAGGCAUCCAUCGAUGUGGGGAGUGAGGAGGGGAACAACAGACUGGGGGUCCGGUAUGCAGAGGGGGAGAUGGACGGAGGAGAGCUGGAGAAGGAGACAGAGCCGGUGACGGUCCUUGACGACGAGAUCGAGACCACAGAGGAGGCGGGAAGCCCUCCAGAGCUCGAUCAGUCGAAGCCGGAAGAGAUCACAGCCUCGGCUGAGGAGAUGGUUGCUGGGACCGACCAUCACACCGCCUCAAUUGAGGUGAGUGUUGCCGGGGGUGACCAUCAUACCUCCUCGGCUGAGGAGACAGUUGCCAGGGGCGACCAUCACACCGCCUCGGCUGCGGAGACAGUUGCCGGGGACGACCAUCACACCGCCUCGGCUGAGCCGACGGUUGCCGGGGGCGACCAUCACACCGCCUCGGCUGAGCCGACGGUUGCCAGGGGCGACCAUCACACCGCCUCAGCUGAGGCGACGGUUGCCGGGGGCGACCAUCACACCGCCUCAUCUGCGGAGACGGUUGCCGGGGGCGACCAUCACACCGCCUCGGCUGAGGAGACAACGGUUGCCGGGGGCAACCAUCAGACCGCCUCAGCUGAAGAGACGGUUGACGACGAGAUCGAGACCACAGAGGAGGCGGGAAGCCCUCCAGAGCUCGAUCAGUCAAAGCCGGAAGAGAUCACAGCCUCGGCUGAGGAAACGGUUGCUGGGGGCGACCAUCACACCGCCUCAACUGAGGUGACGGUUGCCGGGGGCGACCAUCAUACCGCCUCGGCUGAGGCGACGGUUGCCGGGGGCGACCAUCACACCGCCUCAUCUGCGGAGACGGUUGCCGGGGGCGACCAUCACACCGCCUCGGCUGAGGAGACAACGGUUGCCGGGGGCAACCAUCAGACCGCCUCAGCUGAAGAGACGGUUGACGACGAGAUCGAGACCACAGAGGAGGCGGGAAGCCCUCCAGAGCUCGAUCAGUCAAAGCCGGAAGAGAUCACAGCCUCGGCUGAGGAAACGGUUGCUGGGGGCGACCAUCACACCGCCUCAACUGAGGUGACGGUUGCCGGGGGCGACCAUCAUACCGCCUCGGCUGCAGAGACAGUUGCCGGGGGCGACCAUCGUACCGCCUCGACUGAGGAGACAACGGUUGCCGGGGGCGACCAUCACACCGCCUCGGCUGAGGAGACAACGAUUACCAGGGGCAACCAUCAGACUGCCUCAGCAGAAGAGACGGUUGACGACGAGAUCGAGACCACAGAGGAGGAGGGAAGCCCUCCAGAGCUCGAUCAGUCGAAGCCGGAAGAGAUCACAGCCUCGGCUGAGGAGACGGUUGCUGGGGGCGACCAUCACACCGACUCAACUGAGGUGACGAUUGCCGGGGGCGACCAUCACACCGCCUCGGCUGCGGAGACGGUUGCCGGGGGCGACCAUCACACCGCCUCGGCUGAGCCGACGGUUGCCGGGGGCGAACAUUACACCGCCUCGGCUGAGCCGACGGUAGCCGGGGGUGACCAUCACACUGCCUCAGCUGAGGCGACGGUUGCCGGGGGCGACCAUCACACUGCCUCGGCUGCGGAGACGGUUGCCGGGGGCGAUCAUCACACCGCCUCGGCUGGGGAGACAGCGGUUGCCGUGGGCGACCAUCACACCGCCUCAGCUGAGGAGACAAUGAUUACCUGUGGCAACCAUCAGACCGCCUCAGCUGAAGAGACGGUUGCCAGGGGCAAUCGCAUUGCAUCAGUUGAGACAACAGUUGCCGAGGGCGACCCUCACCCAGCCGACAACGCCGUCAAAGAUGGAGUGAAAGACAAGGAAAGAGAGGAGGAGGAGAAACAGCAGGAGGCGAUCAGACCAGAGGAUGAGGAGCUGGAGAGGAGAGACAAGGAGCUCAAGGACAUCAUGGAGAACGGGAUCCGGAGUUUGGACAGACUAAAGACCCUCGCCCCGAUCAGAAGGGAGUCAGGGAGCCGCCGGGGGUCCGGCAAGGUGCUGGCCCCCCUGAGGAACGACACCGACUGGAUCAAGCAAGACCAGCGCUCCCAAGAGGAGAACGACGAGGAGCCGAAGGAGGAGAGGGAGGAGGUGAGGGGCCCUCGAGAGGGAGAGGGAAACUCCAGAGCCCGGAGACCGAGCGAAGGAUGGCGGCACCCCCAAGGACCCGGCGAGAAGCCCCGGAGCACAGGAGGACUGGGUGCGUGA
rnacentral:lncRNA from 1 species